GCUCUCGUAGUUCAAUUGGAUAAAAUGUCAGAUUCCGGUUCUGAGGUUGCGGGUUCGAGUCCCGCCGAGAGUA
rnacentral:tRNA from 1 species